AUUGAACGCUGGCGGCAUGCCUUACACAUGCAAGUCGAACGGCAGCACGGGAGCAAUCUUGGUGGCGAGUGGCGAACGGGUGAGUAAUAUAUCGGAACGUGCCCAGUCGUGGGGGAUAACGCAGCGAAAGCUGUGCUAAUACCGCAUACGAUCUAUGGAUGAAAGCGGGGGAUCGCAAGAACUCGCGCCAUUGGAGCGGCCGAUAUCAGAUUAGCUAGUUGGUGAGGUAAAGGCUCACCAAGGCGACGAUCUGUAGCUGGUCUGAGAGGACGACCAGCCACACUGGAACUGAGACACGGUCCAGACUCCUACGGGAGGCAGCAGUGGGGAAUUUUGGACAAUGGGCGAAAGCCUGAUCCAGCAAUGCCGCGUGCAGGAUGAAGGCCUUCGGGUUGUAAACUGCUUUUGUACGGAACGAAACGGUGAGCUCUAAUACAGUUUGCUAAUGACGGUACCGUAAGAAUAAGCACCGGCUAACUACGUGCCAGCCGCCGCUGUAA
rnacentral:rRNA from 1 species